rnacentral:rRNA from 1 species
AACGCGAAGAACCUUACCUGGGCUUGAACCGCUACUGACCAAGGGUAGAAAUAUCCUCUUCCCGCAAGGGACAGUAGUAGAGGUGCUGCAUGGCUGUCGUCAGCUCGUGCCGUGAGGUGUUGGGUUAAGUCCCGCAACGAGCGCAACCCUUACUCGUAGUUGCUACCCGCAAGGGAGAACUCUACGAGGACUGCUCCGGAUAACGGAGAGGAAGGUGGGGAUGACGUCAAGUCAGCACGGCCUUUAUGUCCAGGGCUACACACGUGUUACAAUGCAUGGUACAGACUGUUGCGAACCCGCGAGGGGGAGCUAAUCGGACAAAACCAUGCUCAGUUCGGAUUGCAGUCUGCAACUCGGCUGCAUGAAGCUGGAAUCGCUAGUAAUGGCGUAUCAGAUCGACGCCGUGAAUACGUUCCCGGGCCUUGUA